ensembl:lncRNA
GUUUCUUUGUCACAUGUUUGUAUGUUAAUACCAUUUAUUCCUUUGUUAAAAAAAUACACUUAAUAAUUCAGGGAUGUAGACAUGACAAUGGAAAAACAGUAAAUGUGUCAUAUACAUACUGUUUUUGCACAUCCAUGUUUAUUUAAGCCAAAUUUAACUGAAAUCUACCGAAUAAGCUUUGAGAGAAUAAAUUAAUAAUACCUCCAGUAAUUGUCCCAUUGCUUUUUUGCUUAUCAGCAUCUGGUAGCUCUACAUUGGAGACAUAUCCACCUGACAUGAAAGAACAUAAAAGAAGUUAUACAUAUGUACAAAAUUAGGUGCAUAAGUGUUGGUUAUAAUUAUAGAUGAACUGAAAGAACACAUGAUGAGAAAAAACCUAAAAAAAAACAAAAAAAACAAAUAGAUUUUCAGCUUACAAUUAAAAUAAAUAAGUGACUCGGCCAAAUGGAAAGGCUCAAACAACCAAACCAAAAAUUUCAAGAUUUGGAAACAGACCUGGGAAUUUUAAUAAACAGCAACCGCUGGACAUAUAUAAGCAAUAACAUAUUAUAGUGUCCUGAGGAAUCAGUAACAAAAGAACUCACAGAAAGACUUAUACUGUACUUGAGAUGUCACUUCAACCCUUACACAGCCACAAGCUGAUGCCAUCCAGACCUCUUGCAACACCUGUUUCCGUUCUCAUUUCUGCUCUCUACUUCCUAUAUUUCUCUCCACAGUGGCUUCCUUCUGCAUGCUACACCUUGCUGUAUUUAGAUCAGCUUUACUUUUGGCUGGCAGAUACCAACCAGAGUCCUGUUUUUCAGCCCAGCGUCCUAUUUCCUUUGACCAAUCCAGUUGAUUAGUAUUGCGUUGCUAAUACAAAUAAACAGUUGACUAGGUGUCCGUCUGUCUGUUUUGUGCCAUAGUGUCUGCAAACUGUUUCAUCCGGAAAUAUUUAGUUGUGUUUUACUCAAUAUUCUUCAACCAGAUAGAUAAACUAGAUCAAAUCUAUAUUACAACUGUUAAAUAUUUUGACUGGUUCAGUUAGUAAAAUAUAAGAUCUCAUACCAGUUUAAACAACUGAAGUCCUUCAAUUCAGAUUUCCAAAAGAGUAAAUACAUAAAAUCUUGUCUGAAUUCUGUUAAUGAAGGCAAAAUUAAAAAAAACAAACAUUGGUGUAAAAAAAAAAAAAAAAAAAAAAAAUGCAUUUAAUUGCACUUUACAUGCUAUGGAAGCCCGUUUCCACCACUAAAUAAAAAUCAAAAAAAAAAAAUCCUUAACUCAAUUUUGUAUUAACACUGCAAAUCAGUAAUCUACGUGAAUUGCGUCAUUUCCUUUUUACCCAGACGCUGAAGCCCUCAGUUACAAAUGCUACAGCUAAGCUACCAGCAUUACAGCCAGUCAUGAAUGCACAAAUUGCUGAGUAUUUUCAGUGUGACCUUCACAAAUGAUGAAAUCCUUGUGUUAUUAGCUGACUCACAUGGUGUUACUAUCAGCAAACAUACUAUUGAAAGCACCAAUUUGUUGCUAUACAUUGGUAGCUCACAAUCUGGCUUUGAGUGCACAUUCCUCUGUGCCAGAUCCUUCCGUCUAACAAGAAAAUUAUGUCAUUCACAUAGAUUACUGACUGGCAGAGCUAACUUGAAAUUUUGAGUUAUUAACUCAAAAUUUUGAGAAAAGUAAC